CGUUUACGCGGCCUGUUGUAGAACCGAGGAGGCCUGGUCAAUUCCACCAUUCAUUUGUGCUUCAAAAAUUCGUCACAGCUCUGAAUUCUCAAAAUUUGAAACUGAUCCAGACUUGGACAUUCAAGCCACCAGAACAAUUUUGACAGUCGAACCAGAGCACCACUCGUUUUAUGCAGCAUCGUGACUAACGAAGGGAACGGAUCAAUCAUCGGACCCAAGCUUGGACCCUGAAAUUAUUGAAGAGGAAAGAGUCCGACAGGCCAGUCUCUUUUGUGGUUCGACACUUGGGACGGAAGCAGAAGAGCCGCAGCGAGAUCCAACAAGAGAGAACAAACUGUAAUUAUCAAGCCUAAGGGAAAUCAACGUGCUGAUGUGACAAAUCAAGAAUAUUCUCUCGAAGAUAUAUUCUGCUGCUUUUUCGGUCAAAAAUGUUCGAUGCAUGGAGAACGGUAACGUUUCCGUACGGAAACAAGUGAUCAUGGAUAAAAAUCAUUGGUCUGUCCGAAGAUUUAAGUGCUGGUGAAAUUGACCUCAAAUUGAAAAAGCAAAACAAUCUUCCGCUCUCCUCGGACAUUUGAAACUUUGAUCCUUUGAUCAAGCUGCAACGCGUCUACCUGUAGAGUGGCUGAAGAAAUCAAUGUCUACCGCUACUUCAAAUGUUCCAUGUCUGGCCAUACAGCAUGUUCCUGAAACAACUCUACUUGCUGUCUCAUAUGUGCUGGUGAUCAUGAAGCAAAAGAAUGUGAAUCUACUUUCAUAAAGUGUGUUAACUGUGAACUGGUGAACAAACUGCGUAACCUUGCAACUGAUAUAUUCCUGGAUCGAACUACAUCGACUCUGGCACGCAACGAUGUUGGUACUAUGAAAGCCACCGAUCCUCCCACCACAGUCCUGCCACUGUAGCCGUCGUUCAACAAUCUUCCCGACCCUGUGUGUGGGAUUGGAUAAGUGGUCUUCCAACCUGAAACUGCAGUUCCAGCGCUACGCCGAUUGAUCAACUAUAUUCUGUCAGCUUGACACUGGAACACAAUGAUGUUGGCACCAUGGAAGCCCCUAAUCUCUCUGCCACAGUCGGGCUAUUCUACUUCCUGCUUUGUCAGAUGCUGAGAUGCCUGACCUGUUAUAUGGAAGGAUUAUGCACGAGGAGCGAUUCGAAUCCCCCCAGUUUUGAAGACAUUAAGAACUGAUGUUCCAUUGCCCUGGUCAGAUGGCUGGUGGUGAAGGAAAACAAUAAGUACAUGGAAACCAGAAAAAACUAUCUAUUUUAAUACUCUCGCCCGCACGUCCCAUUGCACUACAAAUAAAAUUCGCUUUCUAAUCAGUCCCGACCAGGGUCCGGAAGGAACGCUAUUACAUUACAUUGAACUUGCACCAUGCUUCCGUCAAACCACUGUUGACACUGCAUUUAGCAUAUGUGGGUAAGGAACCAAUAAUGCCAGUCAAGUGGCUGGUAGGGGUAAAAUGCCCACUUGUAGAAAAACAACGAUAACAUUUCCUCAGAUGCUCAGAUGUGGGUAACGGAUUGUGCUUGUUUUCAUCUGGAGGUUUCACAAAUAUUUCCAGAUCAUGAAAUCCAACUGAUUCUUUAAUAAAAUUAUAUGUUGUGCAAAACACGACACCUUUAUUAAAAUCAUCGACUUCAAAUUAAACGUUUAACAGCAUAUAUCACAAAGGAAUGACAUGAAUUCACUUAUCGUAUAUUAUUU